UACGAUAUUGAACCAGUUAAUCAGAAUAAACAUGGAAACAAUGGUAACUCCUUAAACUAAUUAAUGGAUUGCUAUGUCUAUGUGAUUUCAUUGUAAACAUCGCUUGUCGACACUAUCGAUUGAACGGUUUAGUGAGGUCGUUGGAUGAGUAUCAUUGUAUUGGCCAUUACUAUUCGACUAAUGUUGAGAAGAUAACCUAAUUUAACUAUUUAAAGGAAGUAAAAGUCGUAAUAAGGUUUCUGUAGGUCAACCUGCGGUAGGAUCAUUA
rfam:Schistosoma margrebowiei strain Zambia genome assembly, scaffold: SMRZ_contig0000112